UAAUGGCUGGCUUAGUCAGUAGAGCAUGUGACUCUUGAUCUCAGGGUCGUGAGUUCAAGCCCCACAUUAG
rnacentral:tRNA from 1 species